rnacentral:lncRNA from 1 species
AUUAUCGGCUUCAAUGUACUCCACUGUAACCACAGGGAGGUAAAUCCUGAUGCGAUCUACUCUACUAUAAUUUCAGAGAGAUAAGAUCCUUUGUUUUAAUCCGCUCCACUGUAAUCUCAGGGAGAUAGGAUUACUAUCUUUGAUCUGCUCUUCUGUAAUCUCAAGGAGAUCAGAUCUGCAAUUCUUCAACCAGCUCCACUACAACCGAGAGAGGUAAGGUUUGUCUUCGACCUACUUCACUGUCAACGCAGGAAGAUAAAAUCAGUUGUCUUCAACCAACUCUUCUACACCCGAGAGAGGCAAGGCUUUGUUUUCGAUCUGCUUCGCUAUUAA